UUCUCAAUGAAGAUAAAGAGACCUUAAGAUAGGAAGUGCCGUCUGACAAUUUAAUCAGCAGCAGAUCUAUCUGUCGAAUGUCGGAUCAUAUCUGCUGCUUGUGUGAUUAUAAUUGGGUCUCUGAGAGUU